GAUGAACGCUGGCGGCGUGCUUAACACAUGCAAGUCGAACGGUAAGGUCCUUCGGGGUACACGAGUGGCGAACGGGUGAGUAACACGUGGGUGAUCUGCCCUGCACUUCGGGAUAAGCCUGGGAAACUGGGUCUAAUACCGGAUAGGACCACUGCCUGCAUGGGUGGUGGUGGAAAGCUUUUGCGGUGUGGGAUGGGCCCGCGGCCUAUCAGCUUGUUGGUGGGGUGAUGGCCUACCAAGGCGACGACGGGUAGCCGGCCGGAGAGGGUGACCGGCAAAGCUGGGACGGAGAUCCGGCCCAGACUACUAGGGGAGGCAGCAGGGGGGAAUAUUGAACAAGGGGCGAAAGCCUGAUGCAGCGACGCCGCGUGAGGGAGGACGGCCUUCGGGUUGUAAACCUCUUUCAGCAUCGACGAAGCGAAAGUGACGGUAGGUGCAGAAGAAGGACCGGCCAACUACGUGCCAGCCGCCGCGGUAA
rnacentral:rRNA from 1 species